rnacentral:rRNA from 1 species
CGUAGGUGGCAAGCGUUGUCCGGAAUAUUGGGCGUAAAGCGCGCGCAGGCGGUCCUUUAAGUCUGAUGUGAAAGCCCACGGCUCAACCGUGGAGGGUCAUUGGAAACUGGGGGACUUGAGUACAGAAGAGAAGAGUGGAAUUCCACGUGUAGCGGUGAAAUGCGUAGAGAUGUGGAGGAACACCAGUGGCGAAGGCGACUCUUUGGUCUGUAACUGACGCUGAGGCGCGAAAGCGUGGGGAGCAAACGAGGAUUAGAUACCCUGGUAGUCCACGCUGUAAACGAUGAGUGCUAAGUGUUAGAGGGUUUCCGCCCGUUUAGUGCCUGCAGCUAACGCAUUAAGCACUCCGCCCUGGGGAGGUACGGCCGCAAGGCUG